UACGUAGGGGGCUAGCGUUGUCCGGAUUUAUUGGGCGUAAAGAGCGCGUAGGCGGCCAGGCAGGUCUGCUGUGAAAACUCGAGGCUUAACCUCGAGAUGUCGGCGGAAACCAUCUGGCUAGAGUCCGGAAGAGGAGAGUGGAAUUCCUGGUGUAGCGGUGAAAUGCGCAGAUAUCAGGAAGAACACCCGUGGCGAAGGCGGCUCUCUGGGACGGUACUGACGCUGAGACGCGAAAGCGUGGGGAGCGAACAGG
rnacentral:rRNA from 1 species